rnacentral:rRNA from 1 species
UACGUAGGGGGCGAGCGUUGUCCGGAUUCAUUGGGCGUAAAGAGCUCGUAGGCGGCUUGGCAAGUCGGAUGUGAAAACUCCAGGCUCAACCUGGAGCCGCCAUUCGAUACUGCUAUGGCUAGAGUCCGGUAGGGGAGUGUGGAAUUCCCGGUGUAGCGGUGAAAUGCGCAGAUAUCGGGAGGAACACCGGUGGCGAAGGCGGCCAUCUGGACGGUCACUGACGCUGAGACGCGAAAGCGUGGGUAGCAAACAGG